rnacentral:rRNA from 1 species
CGAGGCAGCAGUGGGGAAUAUUGGGCAAUGGGCGCAAGCCUGACCCAGCCAUGCCGCGUGAGUGAUGAAGGCCUUCGGGUCGUAAAGCUCUGUGGAGGGGGAAGAAACCUCUUGUGGCUAAUAUCCACGAGAAUUGACGGUACCCCUUUAGCAAGCACCGGCUAACUCCGUGCCAGCAGCCGCGGUAAUACGGAGGGUGCAAACGUUGCUCGGAAUCAUUGGGCGUAAAGCGCACGUAGGCGGCUCGUUAAGUCGGAUGUGAAAGCCCUGGGCUCAACCCAGGAAGUGCAUACGAAACUGGCGAGCUUGAAUAUGGAAGAGGGUCGCGGAAUUCCCGGUGUAGAGGUGAAAUUCGUAGAUAUCGGGAGGAACACCAGUGGCGAAGGCGGCGACCUGGGCCAAUAUUGACGCUGAGGUGCGAAAGCGUGGGGAGCAAACAGGAUUAGAUACCCCGGUAGC